GACGAACGCUGGCGGCGUGCUUAACACAUGCAAGUCGAACGGUGAAGCGAGUGCUUGCUCUCGUGGAUCAGUGGCGAACGGGUGAGUAACACGUGAGUAACCUGCCCAUCACUCUGGGAUAAGCACUGGAAACGGUGUCUAAUACUGGAUACGACCAACCCUUGCAUGGGGUGUUGGUGGAAAGAUUUAUCGGUGAUGGAUGGACUCGCGGCCUAUCAGCUUGUUGGCGGGGUAAUGGCCCACCAAGGCGACGACGGGUAGCCGGCCUGAGAGGGUGACCGGCCACACUGGGACUGAGACACGGCCCAGACUCCUACGGGAGGCAGCAGUGGGGAAUAUUGCACAAUGGGCGAAAGCCUGAUGCAGCGACGCCGCGUGAGGGAUGACGGCCUUCGGGUUGGAAACCUCUUUCAGCAGGGAAGAAGCGAAAGUGACGGUACCUGCAGAAGAAGCACCGGCUAACUACGUG
rnacentral:rRNA from 1 species